GUCUUCAAUGUUUUCUCUCCUUGCUUCCUUCAUCUUCCAUGCCUAAGAUCUGAUAAAAAUUAGAUCUAAUAAGAGAAAAGAGAGAGAAGAAGAGAAGAGGAAGGAUUCUUCUUCUCUUCAUGAUGAUUUGGUUCAGAUCUCAUCGGAUCUGUAUGAAAGAGUUCGCGCAGUGAUUUUCUUCUUCAAAAUCUGGAAGAAGAGAUCUAGAUCCAAAGAUAAGGAGUGAGAUCUAUAAGGUACUAGCACAUCGAUGAUCUCGAUGCUCUGAUCAAAUAUCUCCAUGUGGAUAUCAACAG
rnacentral:lncRNA from 1 species